GUAGUCGUGGCCGAGUGGUUCAGGCGAUGGAUUAGAAAAUUCAUUUGGGAUUUCCUGCGCAGGUUCGAAUCCUGCCGACUACG